rnacentral:piRNA from 1 species
UAAGCAUGCGGAAGAUUUUAUACCUAGGUC